GUCGUUCCAGCCGCAGUUCCUGUCGGCCCCACUGAGGGCACCAUUCUAGUUCCUGUCGGCCCCACUGAGGGCGCCGUUCUAGUUCCUGUCGGCCCCACGAGGGGCGCCGUUCUAGUCCCUUUCGGCUCCACCGAGGGCGCCGUUCUAGUUCCUGUCGGCCCCACCGAGGGCGCCUUUCUAGUUCCUGUCGGCUCCACCGAGGGCGCCGUUCUAGUUCCAGUCGGCUCCACCGAGGGCGCCGUUCUGGUUCCUGUUCCUGUCGGCUCCACGGAGGACGCCGUUCUAGUUCCUGUUCCUGUUGGCCCCUCGGAGGACGCCGUUCUAGUUCCCGUUCCUGUCGGCUCCACGGAGGACGCCGUUCUAGUUCCUGUUCCUGUUGGCCCUGGAGAGGUCGUUCGUGUAUCUGUCGGCUCCACGGAGGGCGCCGUUCUAGUUCCUGUUCCUGUCCCGACCCCCAGGAGGAGGUCGUCCCGGCUUCGGUUCCUGCCGACCUCCCGAAGAAGGUCACCCCAGCUUCGGUUCCUGCCGACCUCCCGAAAAAGGUCGCCCCAACUUCGGUUCCUCACGACUUCCAGGAGGAGAUCGUCCCAGCUUCGGUUCCUGUCGACCUCCCGGAGGAGGUUGUCCCAGCUCUGGUUCCUGCCGACCUCCCGGAGGAGGUCGCCCCAGCAUUGGUUCCUGCCGACCUCCAGGAGGAGGUCGCCCCAGCAUCGGUUCCUGCCGACCUCCCAGAGGAGGUCGCCCCAGCAUCCGUUUCUGGUGGCCCGGCUCCGGCCGCGCCUGCAUUGGUUCCCGGUGGCCCGGCUCCGGCCACGUUCGUCUCCGCCCCAGCAUCGGUUUCUGGUGGCCCAGCUCCGGCCACGCUCGUCUCUGCUCCAGCAUCGGUUCCUGGUGGCCCGGCUCCGGCCACCAUUGUGUCUGCUCCAGCAUCGGUUCCCGGUGGCCCGGCUCCGGCUACGUUCGUCUCUGCUCCAGCAUCGGUUCCCGGUUGCCCGGCUCUGGCCACGUUUGCCUCUGCUCCAGCAUUGGUUCCCGGUGGCCCGGCUCCGGCCAUGUUCGUCUCUGCUCCGGGUGGUCCGGCAUCAGCUGCGUCCAUCCCGGUCCCCCGUCUUGUCCCGUCUCCAACGUCAUGUCCAUCCCGGACUUGUCAGCUGGUCUGGUGGCCUCCCCCUCGGCACCUCCUGCCGGUUGCUUGGCGCUGCCUCCUGCGGCACCGUCCGCCUCGACCACUCAACCUCCGUGAUCGUCGUCCGCCUGGAGGACAUCGCCAUUCGGGGUGGGCCCCGUGGACGCUGGCCCAGCUAA
rnacentral:lncRNA from 1 species